CAAGGUCAUCUGAAUUCCAUCUUAAACAGGAAAGAAAGCAAGGUGCAGCUUGGCAGGGGCCAAGAUAAGAGCUGAGGCCACUGAUGUAUGUCCAGUUGCAGCCUGGAAACCAUCACGGGGGAUGACAUAAACCACCGUCGGCGUACGAUGCUUUAUAGGUUGUGUGGACACGGGCUCUGGAGCCAGACCCCUUGGGUUCCGAUCCACGUUCACCAUUCAUUGGUUGCAAGCGGUACCAAGUUUGUGAUGAGAUGUUUCCGUGAUUGUUGGAUCGGUGGCUUUUCCCAAGUAGACCACGAGCUCCAGAGCUCUGACUCCCGGGAGAAGGAAGAGGACGGCCCCUCGGGGCCGCACAGAAUGGACAGGCCAAGCGACAGGAGGGAGGCCGCCCGCGCUCCUCCAGGGCCUCGAGGAAGGCACAGUCACACCUGCAAAACACAGCGCCCAUCUUUUUCAUCCGCUUUUACCUCUCAGGAGACCCCGGUCCCCAGAGACCUGUUUUCACCUCCCCGGCUCGGCACACAUGUUUUCUACAUGAUAUUAACCGGUCGCCUUUGAAU